rnacentral:rRNA from 1 species
GACGAACGCUGGCGGCGUGCUUAACACAUGCAAGUCGAACGGUGAAGCGCCUUCCUUUUUGGUGGGUGUGGAUGAGUGGCGAACGGGUGAGUAACACGUGAGUAACCUGCCCCCUUCUUCUGGAUAACCGCAUGAAAGUGUGGCUAAUACGGGAUAUUCUGGGUCUGUCGCAUGAUGGGUCUGGGAAAGAUAUUGUUUCGGUGGGGGAUGGGCUCGCGGCCUAUCAGCUUGUUGGUGGGGUGAUGGCCUACCAAGGCGGUGACGGGUAGCCGGCCUGAGAGGGUGGACGGUCACACUGGGACUGAGACACGGCCCAGACUCCUACGAGAGGCAGCAGGGGGGAAUAUUGCACAAUGGGCGCAAGCCUGAUGCAGCGACGCCGCGUGAGGGAUGGAGGCCUUCGGGUUGUGAACCUCUUUCGCCAGUGAAGCAGGCCUGCCUCGUUUGUGGGUGGGUUGACGGUAGCUGGAUAAGAAGCGCCGGCUAACUACGUG